CAGUAGCCGCGGUAAUACGAAGGGUGCAAGCGUUAAUCGGAAUUACUGGGCGUAAAGCGUGCGUAGGCGGUUUGUUAAGUCUGUUGUGAAAUCCCCGGGCUCAACCUGGGAAUGGCAAUGGAUACUGGCUCGCUAGAGUGUGUCAGAGGAUGGUGGAAUUCCCGGUGUAGCGGUGAGAUGCGUAGAGAUCGGGAGGAACAUCAGUGGCGAAGGCGGCCAUCUGGGACAACACUGACGCUGAGGCACGAAAGCGUGGGGAGCAAUCAGGAUUAGAUACCCCUGUAGUCCCUGUCUCUUAUAU
rnacentral:rRNA from 1 species